UAGGGAAUCUUCCGCAAUGGACGCAAGUCUGACGGAGCAACGCCGCGUGAGUGAAGAAGGAUUUCGGUUCGUAAAACUCUGUUGUUAGAGAAGAACAGCGCAUAGAGUAACUGUUAUGCGUGUGACGGUAUCUAACCAGAAAGCCACGGCUAACUACGUGCCAGCAGCCGCGGUAAUACGUAGGUGGCAAGCGUUGUCCGGAUUUAUUGGGCGUAAAGCGAGCGCAGGCGGUCAAUUAAGUCUGAUGUGAAAGCCCCCGGCUCAACCGGGGAGGGUCAUUGGAAACGGGUUGACUUGAGUGCAGAAGAGGAGAGUGGAAUUCCAUGUGUAGCGGUGAAAUGCGUAGAUAUAUGGAGGAACACCAGUGGCGAAGGCGACUCUCUGGUCUGUAACUGACGCGGAGGCUCGAAAGCGUGGGUAGCAAACAGG
rnacentral:rRNA from 1 species